GUUGACCUCGGAUCAGGUAGGAAUACCCGCUGAACUUAAGCAUAUCAAUA
rnacentral:rRNA from 56 species